rnacentral:rRNA from 1 species
UACGUAGGGGGCAAGCGUUGUCCGGAAUCAUUGGGCGUAAAGAGCGUGUAGGCGGCUCGAUAAGUCUGCUGUGAAAAGUCCAGGGCUCAACCCUGGAAAGGCCGGUGGAAACUGUCGGGCUAGAGUCCGGAAGAGGCGAGUGGAAUUCCCGGUGUAGCGGUGAAAUGCGCAGAUAUCAGGAGGAACACCGGUGGCGAAGGGCGGGGUCUCUGGGGCCGAAAAUUGACGCUGAGGAGCGAAAGCGUGGGAGCAAACAGG